AAGUCCCCGCCGGGUGCAGCUUGGUCGGUUCGAUCGCCGCCGGGACCUGACGCCGCUCGGAGUUGGCGUCCCUUCUCCCUCUCCGAGUGCUGCUUCUGUCAUUGUGGCCAUGGACGAUACCCUGUUCCAGUUGAAGUUCACGGCGAAGCAGCUGGAGAAGCUGGCCAAGAAGGCGGAGAAGGACUCCAAGGCGGAGCAGGCCAAAGUGAAGAAGGCCCUUCUGCAGAAAAAUGUAGAGUGUGCCCGUGUGUAUGCCGAGAACGCCAUCCGCAAGAAGAACGAAGGUGUGAACUGGCUUCGGAUGGCGUCCCGCGUAGACGCGGUGGCCUCCAAGGUGCAGACGGCUGUGACCAUGAAGGGGGUGAGCGCUGGGCCCUGGUGCUGGAUGGGUGGCGUCUGCUGGCUGAAGCAGGAAUGGGCUCUGCGGCCUGGAUCUGGGGCAGCUCAGAGUUGAGGGAAGCUGGAUCAGUGUGGGGUGGGGAGGUUGAGGGAAGCUGGAUCAGUGUGGGGUGGGGAGGUUGAGGGAAGCUGGAUCC
rnacentral:sRNA from 1 species